UACAGAGGUCUCAAGCGUUGUUCGGAAUCACUGGGCUUAAAGGGCGCGUAGGCGGGCGAUCAAGUCAGGGGUGAAAUCCUCCAGCUUAACUGGAGAACUGCCUCUGAUACUGGUCAUCUUGAGUGAGGUAGGGGCGUGCGGAACUGAUGGUGGAGCGGUGAAAUGUGUUGAUAUCAUCAGGAACUCCGGUGGCGAAAGCGGCGCGCUGGACCUUAACUGACGCUGAGGCGCGAAAGCCAGGGGAGCGAACGGG
rnacentral:rRNA from 1 species